UACGAAGGGUGCAAGCGUUACUCGGAAUUACUGGGCGUAAAGCGUGCGUAGGUGGUUUGUUAAGUCUGUUGUGAAAGCCCUGGGCUCAACCUGGGAAUUGCAGUGGAUACUGGACGACUAGAGUGUGGUAGAGGGUAGUGGAAUUCCCGGUGUAGCAGUGAAAUGCGUAGAGAUCGGGAGGAACAUCCAUGGCGAAGGCAGCUACCUGGACCAACACUGACACUGAGGCACGAAAGCGUGGGGAGCAAACAGG
rnacentral:rRNA from 1 species